rnacentral:rRNA from 1 species
CUAAUACAUGCAAGUCGAACGAGAUCUUCGGAUCUAGUGGCGCACGGGUGCGUAACGCGUGGGAAUCUGCCCUUGGGUUCGGAAUAACUUCUGGAAACGGAAGCUAAUACCGGAUGAUGACGUAAGUCCAAAGAUUUAUCGCCCAAGGAUGAGCCCGCGUAGGAUUAGCUAGUUGGUGGGGUAAAGGCCCACCAAGGCGACGAUCCUUAGCUGGUCUGAGAGGAUGAUCACCCUCACUCGGACUGAGACACGGCCCAGACUCCUACGGGAGGCAGCAGUAGGGAAUAUUGGACAAUGGGGGCAACCCUGAUCCAGCAAUGCCGCGUGAGUGAUGAAGGCCUUAGGGUUCUAAAGCUCUUUUACCCGGGAUGAAAAUGAGAGUACCGGGAGAAUAAGCUCCGGCUAACUCCGUGCCAGCAGCCGCGGUAAUACGGAGGGAGCUAGGGUUGUUCGGAAUUACUGGGCGUAAAGCGCACGUAGGCGGCUAUUCAAGUCAGAGGUGAAAGCCCGGGGCUCAACCCCGGAACUGCCUUUGAAACUAGAUAGCUUGAAUCCAGGAGAGGUGAGUCGAAUUCCGAGUGUAGAGGUGAAAUUCGUAGAUAUUCGGAAGAACACCAGUGGCGAAGGCGGCUCACUGGACUGGUAUUGACGCUGAGGUGGGAAAGCGUGGGGAGCAAACAGGAUUAGAUACCCUGGUUGUCCACGCCGUAAACGAUGAUAACUAGCUGUCAGGGCACAUGGUGUUUUGGUGGCGCAGCUAACGCAUUAAGUUAUCCGCCUGGGGAGUACGGUCGCAAGAU